GACGAACGCUGGCGGCGUGCCUAAUACAUGCAAGUCGAACGCUUCUUUCCUCCCGAGUGCUUGCACUCAAUUGGAAAGAGGAGUGGCGGACGGGUGAGUAACACGUGGGUAACCUACCCAUCAGAGGGGGAUAACACUUGGAAACAGGUGCUAAUACCGCAUAACAGUUUAUGCCGCAUGGCAUAAGAGUGAAAGGCGCUUUCGGGUGUCGCUGAUGGAUGGACCCGCGGUGCAUUAGCUAGUUGGUGAGGUAACGGCUCACCAAGGCCACGAUGCAUAGCCGACCUGAGAGGGUGAUCGGCCACACUGGGACUGAGACACGGCCCAGACUCCUACGGGAGGCAGCAGUGGGAAUCUUCGGCAAUGGACGAAAGUCUGACCGAGCAACGCCGCGUGAGUGAAGAAGGUUUUCGGAUCGUAAAACUCUGUUGUUAGAGAAGAACAAGGACGUUAGUAACUGAACGUCCCCUGACGGUAUCUAACCAGAAAGCCACGGCUAACUACGUG
rnacentral:rRNA from 1 species